UUUAACUGCCGAAGACAGCAGGUGCCGAAAGGCAUAAGGUUAAUACGCCUGCCGAGGGAACUGAUAUCGUUGUAUAUUUCUAUCCCCCUGUCCUGCGAGUGACGGAGGGAUUUUAUUUUA
rnacentral:sRNA from 1 species